rnacentral:lncRNA from 1 species
UUUUUCUUUUUUCUUAAAUUCCGUACAUUUUCUCCCCUAGUAAUUCCUUACAAAUUCCACGUGGAACACGUUCAUUUCAUAUUGGCUUAUAUGAACAUUUCUCACAGUAAAUACAGCGUACAGUGUAACCAUCCUGUAUCAUUCAAACACUGGUGGAGUACAACAUGAUAAAUUUACCCUCUCCUUCAAUCUAAUUCAACAUGUAUUUAAUCAGAGCAGGGUAAUCCUCUAUGAAGGAUGAAUAAAAAUUCCUUGCAUUUUAAGAUGAUUUGCUCUCUUCUUGAGAGAGAGUACAAAAGGGCUUUUUCCAACAUACAUUUUACUCAUUUUGAUACCUUCUGAUAAAUUAUUCUCAUGUCAUGCUGAGAAAACUUCAACUUGUCAUUUGAGCGAGGAUAUAAUAAAGUCGUUAUAAAUGUCUAGCAUUGAAGCCAUCUUUCUUUCAUUUCUUGAUAUUAAAUUUUAAUUACAGAAUAUCCCCUUAAAUAACCAAUAUUUUACAGAGAGAAAUAGCAUAAAUGAAGACCAUGAGGAAGAAGCUAGUGCUAUAAAAAAGACAUCUGACUGGAGGGUACUACUUCUUUCCUGACUCAUUCUAAAGUUAUCUACUGUAUAUAACAAAUACCACAAAGGAUUAUACAAAAACAGAGAUGAAAUUCCAUCACAGAUAUAUUAACAGUAAUUCUUUCUAGGCAUAUUUACUAUCUUCUUUGUUAAAUUCCCCAAUUUUUUUAACCAUAUGAAUCAAGUUGACAAGGGUCUUACCAUCAAAACCAUAGGUAACAUGUUACCUUUAUAUAAUGAAAUUUUUGAAUGAAUAAAAUAAAAAUAUUGAUUUCACUUAAAAAAAAACAGAACAAAAACAGGAGCUAAAGUGCAACAAAAAUCUGGAUUCAGUUGAUGUGGAUUAAUGAAAGGGAUUAGAAAAGAGUAUCCUUAACUCUUGCUCUAAGAAGAAAAUAGAACAUGUUAUGAUCAUUGGAUGGAUAAGAACUCCCCAGAAAAUCACCUUCAUGUACCCUCACCAACUUUUUUUUUGCCAGAUUUCCUACUCAAGUGCCACCCUACACCUUAUGGCACACAGAGUUCACUCAUCGUGUAGAGGAAAACUUGAGAGCAGAAUUUUUGUAAGAAUGUGGAAGUGAUAGGACAUGUAUGCAGUUGAGGGGGGAAUAAAUGAGAGAAAAUGUACCUUUCAAGGAAGGCAGAUUAUGUGGUCAGAGACAUGAGCCUGGGAGUUCACCAUCUUGAGGAUCACUGUUAUGUAUUAUUGAGAAUAAAUCCCAAUUGUUGCCUGUUCAUCAGCUGGCUCUAUCUUCUGUCCCUGUGGAAACCUCUUGGGGAGGGGAGUUGCAAGCAGAUGUGGGAGGGAGAGCCUGAUGGUAUCUCUGGUUGCUUAACCAUAUUUCUUCUGAUGUCUCUAGCCUAGUAUCAAAUUCAGAGUUUUGCAGGAAGCAAGUGAGCCUAAUUUAAAUAUUCAGUCAAAGCUCAAUUUUUGUUCAUUUUUUUCUCUGCUGCAUGGAAGCAAAGAACAUGGAGUCUAUCAGUCAUCUGUUAGACAGCAACAAUUUUAGAAGGAUCUGUAAUAGCCAACCAAGAGAUGACAAUCUUCGUUUUCAAACUGACAGGUGCAAAAAGGAGAUCUGAAUAAUUCAUGGCAGGAAGACGGAAGCCUUUGAUGGUUGUUUGCCAGAGCAACUUGUUUUGUGUCUUGCCUUUGGCUUCAUCUUUCAAUAUGGCAUCUGUGUUAGUUUCUUUGGGCAGCCAUAACAAAGUACCACCAACUGUGUGGUUUAAACCACACAGAUUUCUUCUCUCACAUUUCUGGAGACCAAGAGUAUGAAUUCAAGUUGCCGGCAGGGCCAUACUCCCCCCACUCCCCCCAAAGCCUCUAGACUGAGAUGCUUCUCUACCUCCACCAGGUUCUGGUAGCUCUGUGCAUUGCUUGGCUUGUGUCCAUAUAAUUCCAGUCUCUACCUCUGUCCUCACAUGACCAUUUUCCCUAUGUCUGUGCCCUGUUUUCCCCCUUCUUACAAGGACACCAGCCAUGUUGGAUCAAGGGCCACACAACUUCAGUCUGACCUCUUCUUAACGGAUUACAUCUGAAAUUAUCUAUUUUCAAAUACAGUCACAUUCUGGGCUACUGGCAGGUGAGGGCUUCAACAUAUAAUUUUGGAGGACACAAUUUAACCUAUAGUGGCAUCUCAAAGCAGCUCACCUCUGUCUAUCUCAUGUAUAACAAGGUUAAAACAAGAGGGAAAAAACUAUACCCAUAGUUUUUUGCAAAGGAGGGAAGGAGGAGAGAGAGUUUCUCCUAAGAGAAUAGCUUUAUCAUGGAAAACAAUUUCAAGAUAUAUAACAAUUCCUAUCAGAUGGAUCAAGUUGCAUGAAAUCUCUGUAGUCUUGAACACAUUCCAUGGAGCUUGGGUCACCUCAGCAGUAACUGCCAUAUGAUAAGUGUGUGUACACACAGGCGCUCUUACCCUAGAAUGAGCAUCAAUGUUUAUUUACUCAUUCCAGUGAGUUUUAGACAAAAAGCCAAGGCUAUAUUAAAAAGUCUGUGGGUGCAUAAACACAAAACACAGAAAGCUUGACGGAUGCUGAAUUUUAGACAACGUGCCCACUUCCUCUGUGAGAAAAGAACACUGUAGUUCUUAAUACAAAUUAAAGGCAAGAAGUGCAGAACAUCAAAGAACCCCUGGCUCAGUUUAAUCAAAUGAAAUAAUGUACCCGCGAGUGAUUUCAAAGUACAGCUACAAAGUAUUCUAAUUUUCUUUCUUUGGGGAGGAAUACUUAAUUUUUUCAGCUCAUACUGAGAUUUAGCCCUCUCUUCAAUGUUCAUGCUCACCAUGGAGUUUUUCUCUAGGCAAGUGUGAGAGUGAGUGCAAUGUCAAUGCAGGACAUCCCCAGAAUGCAUGCUCCUUAUAGAACUGGUGCAAGCUGAUAUCCCUCCCAGUACCUCACAGAGGAUGGCACAUGUUCAUUCAAUAAAUACUUGCUUAUCAACAGUGUUUAGAGAAUGUAUCAUUCCAUUGAUUUUACUGGAAGUUCUUAUCACACACACACACAAAAAAUGAAGAAUUGCUAACUCCAUAAUACUUGGGUGGAGUAUGUUAGGGUUUGCAUAUACUAGGACUCAGAAUGUGCCCUGAGUCAUCUCGGAUGAAAGGAAUUAUAGCCAGUCCCUUCCUUCUUCCCCUCUGAGGGGUGGCAGAUGUUCUGAGAAGGGAGUCUGGGCUGUGGGGACCUAUAUUUACCAAACCACUACCAGAGGAUGAAAACCCACUUCUUCAUCACUCCUUUCUAAAGUACUUUCUAAUUACCCUCUUCUCCAUGAUUAUUCUACAUUCUGUCUCAAACAAUCCAUACAUUUUUCAAAUCUCAUACUUGAAUAGGGAAUAACGAAUAGGAAUUCCUGAUAACUAGUGCCCCAUGCUUCCCAAACACGUAAUCCUAUUAAUCCAAUAAUUCUAUUGAUGCCAUAAAAUGCCGUAAGUAGUAAAUAAUUACAUAUAUUUAUCAAGAUCCUAAGAGUUAUUUAUUAUCCCAGUGAGGGUUAAAGAGAAAUGGGAUUUGGUAAGUAAUCAAAAAGCACAAACACCUAUGAAACAACCCUAAAUGACUAGAUCAAAGUCAUCUAUUGGCCAUAACCUUUCUAAAAUGAAAUACAUUUAAAAUAGUUACAAGAUGAGAAUGGAUUAGAAAGUAAUAGUCCUAUACAGUAGAUGCUUGAACUAUUUUUCUAAGAAAUGAUCCCAAGAAGACUUAGAAAGGAAUAAUCCCAUGAAUUUAUCCCUCUAAGUCACAGAAGAGAAUAGCAUUACAAGUUCCUGUAACACCCCCAAUUCUAGGAUGGAGAAUGUGUUCUGCAUCAUGACUCAAGGGAAAGGAGCAGCCAUGUGUGGGUCGGAGAAACCUCUGAGUCUACACCAAACACAGAGAUUCUUCCCUUGGCUCUCACCAGACUCCAUGAAAUGCAGCUGUAGAGAUGCUUCCCACAAAGGACCAAACAGCAACCUCACAGCGAUCACAACCUCAGAAGCAAUGGUUCUGACUCCGUCAGAUUCUUAAAAACGUGUCACAGGUGAAAAGCAAAGUAAGUACACACACAAUGAGCACUGCCAGAAGCUUCUACUCCUUCGAGAGUAUCAAUGUUAGGUGAGCCACCAGGUCAAUUUCUAAUAAUGAAAAAUAUAUUUUAAAAGUAAGAGACGCUGAAGUCUAAGAAACAAACUGAGGGUUGCUGAAGGGGAGGUGGGUGGGUGGGACAGGGUAACUAGGUGACCAGCAUUAAGGAGGGCAUGUAAUAUGAGUGCUGGGUGUUAUAUGCAACUGAUGAAUCACUAAAUUUUACCCCUGAAAUUAAUAAUAUAGUUACUAUAUAGUUUACUAUAUAUUAAAUAAAUUGAAUUUAAAUCAAGAAUUACAAAAAAGUACAUUCAAAAGAUAAUAAAAUCUGCCACCCCAAAACCAAGUAUUACAAAGAGCCAUGAGAUGAUAAAAAUGUACAGAAAUGAACUUUAGUGCAUCAGUUAGGUACACGUCACUCAAACUCUGCUUCCUUUAGGUCAAAAGUAAGACCAUAUUUAAAGCAUUAAAUGUGUGGUUCUCUAAUACCAACUUCAGACUGUGACCAUUAAAGUCUUCUUGGAUGAAAGGUUUAGAAUGGCCUAGAAUCAAGUUCAAAGUCAGAGAACUACAAUGUAGUGAAUAAACUGACUUGUCAAAUUCACCCACUACUGGAAGUCACACCCCAAAAACCCCCUCACAUCUAAGAAUUUCUCAGGACACAAGCACACAGCAUCUGGCACAGUGGCAGUCCAUAAAUAUGAGUUGCAGGAAAAGUGAAAAAUGAAUGAAUUUCCCCCAAGAAGUGAGCUGGGAUUUAAGCAUAAAAUGACAUAUUCCCAGCCCUUGGGAGUUUAUAUUUUAUAGGCAAAAACACAAAGAAAAUUCUAGCUUGAGAUAAACUAUCAAAUUUAUAUUUUUAUCGGCAUGUAUUUAAAAACCAAGGUUUAUAGAAGUCCAUUUCUUCAUGUUUAUAAGGUUUUUAAAUUACAUUUUUUUCUGAUUACAAAUAUAAUAGAAGCACACUGUGAAAAAUCUGAAAAAUAAAGAAACAUUAAGGAAUAAAAUAUGAAUCCCUCACAAUUCCAUUACCAACUGGCCACUACAGCAGGCCAAGAGCUCACUUCUAUCAACAUUUUUGCAUAUUCCUUCUAUAUAUUUUCUACAUAUAUAUGUAGGUAUAUUCGGAUAAUUGAGAUCAUAUUGUUAUUUAAAUAGCUUUGCCUUCAGUUUAUUUAAUUGAUAUUUUUAUCACAAUAUGUACGAAUGUUACAAAAUGGAUGGAUAUUGUAUGAAUGUUACAAAAUAAUGAUUUCCUGUCACUGAAAGGUUUUAAUACAUCAUUUUAAUACUGUGUACUAAUCCACUGGGUGGAUAUACAAUAAUUUAAUUAACCUAUCUACUCUUGGGUGCUUCUAACAUUUCACCGUUAUAAUUAAAAUAAAAUAAAACUCUCCACAUAGAUCUUUAUCUGUAUUUCUAAUUAUUUCCUUAAUUAGCUCCUCAAAGUAAAGUUUCCAGGGCCAAACCUAUACUUUUUUUAAAGAAAGACAUUAAAUUGGUGAAGUUUUAGAAGAGUUAAUGAAAAAAAUUCUACCGUACAAUUGUUGAGUGGUUCAACACAAGGGCCUUAACCCAGGUCUUCCUAACUCUCAGUGCCACUUUCUUUCCACUACACCAAACCAGAUGGCUUUCAUGUAGUUAAGGUGAAAAAAUGAUGGAACAUGGACCCGCCUCACUCCCUAUGCCUCUGACAGUAUCCUAAUCCCUCCCAGAGCCCUGGAAACAAAGGAACUGAGGAAGGUCGCUUUUUGCUUUCCUGAGCCUCACCCCAGCUGACAAACCAGAAGGAGGUGGGAAUGCAUGCUGAGCAAUCCAAGCCCUUGUUCAGGCAGAAAUAUUUACAGAAGAGAGAGCACAGAGGAUGGCAAAGCCAUCUCUUUCCUUGAGGAGGACAGAUUGGGAAAGCCUCUGUCUUGUGCUGAAAGUUUUGAAAAGAUGGAUGAAUUUCACUCAAAGGACAACGAGAGGAGGAUUUUCAACACAGAAUUGUAGGACCAAAGGCAUGUGUGGGAACAAAUUUUGCCACCCCAAGCUUUGCUUCUUUGGCAUAUUUAUUAUUUUAAGCUGGUUGUUUUUGAGAAACUGCAAAUAUAAGGGGCACCUGGGUAGCUCAGUCCAUUAAGCAUCCAACUCUUGAUUUUGGAUCAGGUCAUGAUCUGGGGGUUGUGAGAUCUUGCCCCAUGUCUGGAACUGCACUCAGCAGGGAGUCUGCUUGGGAUUCUCUACCAUCCCCUGCCAUGCCCUCUCUCUCUAUUCUCUCUAAUGAAUAGAUGAACCUUAAAAAAAAAAAAAAAAAGAAA